rnacentral:rRNA from 1 species
AAUGAACGCUGGCGGCGUGCCUAAUACAUGCAAGUCGAACGAGGUGCUUUUGUAGCAAUACGAGAGUAUCCUAGUGGCGAACGGGUGAGUAACGCGUUGGUGACCUGCCCCAAAGUGUGGGAUAACAGUCCGAAAGGACUGCUAAUACCACAUGUGGUUUUCGGAACUAGAAACCGAUUUCUAAAGCAGCAAGGCGCUUUGGGAGGGGCCUGCGUCCCAUCAGCUAGUUGGUGAGGUAACGGCUCACCAAGGCGACGACGGGUAGGGGACCUGAGAGGGUGGCCCCCCACAAUGGAACUGAAACACGGUCCAUACACCUACGGGUGGCAGCAGUAGGGAAUAUUGCUCAAUGGGCGGAAGCCUGAAGCAGCAACGCCGCGUGUGCGAAGAAGGCCUUCGGGUCGUAAAGCACUUUUAUGAGAGAUGAGAAAGGACAGUAUCUCAGGAAUAAGUCUCGGCUAACUACGUGCCAGCCGCCGCCGUAA